GCAUGCUCUAUAUGAAAUGCUAAAAUUACCGUACAACUACACCCAAUCACAGAUGGCAUCAGCCAGAGCAUGGAUUGCCUUGACAUUUUGCAAGAACAAGAAAAUGCCACAGAAACAUCUAGUCACUACAACUGAUGACAGUGAUUAUACCUGUGCUAAUGACAGUAAGUGUAUCGAUGAUGUGCAGGAAGAUGUACGCAUAAUGCACUAAAGACUUUUACAUAGAUGUU